rnacentral:rRNA from 1 species
GAGAUUGGGUAGGGGCUGCCGGAACGCUAGGUGGAGCGGUGAAAUGCAUAGAUAUCUAGCGGAACGCCCAAGGCGAAGGCAUGCAGCUGGGCCAAUUCUGACGCUGAGGCACGAAAGCGUGGGGAUCGAACGGGAUUAGAUACCCCGGUAGUCCACGCCCUAAACGAUGUGCACUAGAUCGUGGAGGUUUUGACGCCAUCAUGGUCGAAGCAAAAGUACUAAGUGCACCGCCUGGGGAGUACGGUCGCAAGGCUAAAACUCAAAGGAAUUGACGGGGGCUCACACAAGCGGUGGAGCAUGUGGCUCAAUUCGAAGCAACGCGAAGAACCUUAUCCAGGGUUUGACAUGUACGGAUUAACUUCCUGAAAGGGAAGCCACGCCCGCAAGGGUGGAACGUACACAGGUGCUGCAUGGCUGUCGUCAGCUCGUGCUGUGAAGUGUCGGGUUAAGUCCCUUAACGAGCGAAACCCCUGUCGCUAGUUGCUAAAGCUUUUGCAUAGGACUCUAGCGAGACUGCCGGUGUCAAACCGGAGGAAGGUGGGGAUGACGUCAAGUCCUCAUGGCCUUUAUGCCCUGGGCUGCACACGUGCUACAAUGGUGCGUACAGAGCGAAGCGAUACCGCAAGGUGGAGCAAAUCGCAAAAAGCGCGCCUCAGUUCGGAUUGGGGUCUGCAACUCGACCCCAUGAAGUCGGAAUCGCUAGUAAUCGCGUAUCAGCAAUGACGCGGUGAAUGUGUUCCUGAGCCUUGUACACACCGCCCGUCAAGUCAUGGAAGCCGGGAGUACCCGAAGUGGCUGCAUUUCAGCAGUCCCUACGGUAAGCUCGGUGACUGGGACUAAGUCGUAACAAGGUAGCCGUAGGGGAACCUGCGGCUGGAUCACCU